CUCUACUGGGAGACACGCCCACUUCCUGAAGCUUCCUCCACCUGAGGAUAAUUACCAAUUAACCUCACUAGUGUCUCUCUUUGUGCUGACUGCUUGCUCCUCUGCCUGCUGCAUGCGUUUGCUGCGUCUAUGACUUUAUACCAGCGAUAUGGAUCCAUUGUAAACCAACAUUGAGAAAGCAAACAACAAGGAAAGAAGCAAAUGGCAAUAAAGAUCAAAAUUGAGAAGUAA